AUGGAAGUUGGUGGUGUUGGCGUCAAGGCUUUUGUGGCAACGAUGAUGGGCGUGUGUGAUGUUGGAGACGCGGCAAUGGUUGUGGUAGUCGGCUCUUCUCCGGCGUGUUCGUGGGACUACCUCGGGUUGUUUUGUUGCGGUGAAGUCGGAGCUGCAGCGGCAGGGCCCUGUGGCGACGAUGACAGGCACUCUAUGGUGUGGGUUGGGUUGACUUUUGUCUUCAGAGAAGUCGGAGUCGCUUUCUCGGAGAUUAGGGAGGGCGAUGGGGCCUGUUGGGGAGAAGUGAUGACGAUGACACCGGUGUGUGAUGUUGACGAGGCCCUCUAUGUGAGGUUAACUGAACGAUCGAUCAAAACAGGGAAACCAGACGGAGCUAGGAAGACAGGCUGCCGCCUCGCCGGCUUCCGCCCACAUGCGCUGCCAGUUCCAUCGCCGCUGCCUUGCCGUGCCUCUGGACCGACGUACUGCCCUGAUCUCCCAGCGCUUCGUCCCGCUUCUUCUCGUCUCCCGUCGCUCCACCCGUUCUGCCGCUGCUGCCUCAUCUGGCGUGAGUCACAGCACUACUUCCCUACUAAAGCUAGCAACUAUAGCAGCGAAGCAGCCACGACCAAGUACAACAACGACCAGCUACAGCUAACUACAGCAGCGAGUAGCUACUGGCUCCAGCCAGUAAACACACGCUACGGCCACGGAGCGAACUGGACUGUCACGCGCUGCAGGGGGGCUUGA
rnacentral:rRNA from 1 species